GAUGAACGCUAGCGGCAGGCUUAAUACAUGCAAGUCGAGGGGCAGCACGGUUAGCAAUAACUGGUGGCGACCGGCGCACGGGUGCGUAACACGUAUGCAAUCUACCUUAAACAGGGGGAUAGCCUUUCGAAAGAGAGAUUAAUACCCCGUAAUAAAUUGAACGGCAUCGUUUGAUUUUGAAAGCUCCGGCGGUUUGAGAUGAGUAUGCGUCUGAUUAGCUAGUUGGUGAGGUAACGGCUCACCAAGGCGACGAUCAGUAGGGGAUCUGAGAGGACUAACCCCCACACUGGUACUGAGACACGGACCAGACUCCUACGGGAGGCAGCAGUAAGGAAUAUUGGUCAAUGGAGGCAACUCUGAACCAGCCAUGCCGCGUGCAGGAUGACGGCCCUAUGGGUUGUAAACUGCUUUUAUACAAGAGAAAACCCUGGUACGUGUACCAGGUUGAUAGUAUUGUAAGAAUAAGCAUCGGCUAACUUCGUGCCAGCAGCCGCGGUAAU
rnacentral:rRNA from 1 species